rnacentral:lncRNA from 1 species
CUUUCUUGAGCUUCUUCAUAUUACAUACAGUUAUAGAGUAAACUUAGUUUUUGCAUCUGAUUACAUAAGUUUGUUGUCACUGAUAUCUGAUUCUGAACUUUGACAUGCUUGUUUUGUUUGGGAACUUUAAGAUAACAAACUCGAUCAUCGUCUUGUGUUGUGUCGUUUCGUGAGUUGACAAAGUUUAUAUAUUCAGACAGAGGACUGUCAAAUAUUUUACUGCCAUUCUUAACAACCACGUCCACGCACCUUCCCUUAAUACAAUAACUCGUUUAAGAUUUUGACACUUAAAUUAAGAGAAAUAUAAUUCUCAAAAAGUAAGUAAAUUCACACAUUACAUACACAUUAUUUUUAGUAAAACUAACAAUUAAACAUAAUCAUAAAUCUAUUCUAUAUAACUAUUAAUUUAUUAAAAAAAAAAAAAAAAAAGUAAAUUCUUGUAUGCUUUACCAAAUUUAACCUAUGACUAUGAUUGUGAUUCUACUUUGAUUUUAUAUGAAAAAUGUUCUGCUCAAAUUAUACCUUUUUAUUUAGUUCAUCUCAUUGGAGUGACUUCUCCAUGUUUGAUUAAGCUUAACUCAUUUUUGCCUACAUUUAAACAUAAUGUCUGUUUUCAUUUAUGAUAUUGAGUAUCCACUGAUAUAUAUAUAUAUAUAUAUAUAUAUAUAUAUAUAGGGCAUAUCAAGUGAGAGGACCUUUUAAAAUGAGAGAUGAGAGGGUGAAAUCGCAAUCCUUAGACCAAUCUUUAUUGUGUUACUUAAAUUUUAAAACUGCACAGUAUAAUUUUUUCAUUUCCCAUAUGUCUGCUUCUUCUCUCGCCGUCUAUUCAUCUCCUUGUGAUAUUUCAGUUUCUUUUUUUUCUUUCAAAUGUUAUUUUUCAAGAUCCAGUGGAAAGCAAUUUUGAUGUAUCAUGGCUGACUUAAUCAAAAAAACAAUCACACCAAAGAGAAGUUUGGAAAAUAUGAAUUGUUCUCAUAUUGUUCAUCUUUUAACAGUAAAUUAAUUAUGAAUCAUAGAAGCCGUAAAAAAAAAACUGAAACAUCAAAUCCAAAUUUGGGAUAUGGGUUAUCAUUAAAUCAAACCUUGUAAAAGAGCUGUGAUGAUGAUUCGGUAAUCCACUUUCAGUUUAUAGAAGAGAAAAAGAAAGAAGAACAAAAACUAAUCCUUUUUAAAUCUUCAUGGAUUUCAUUUCUGCUGCACUUUCUUCAUGUUCCUGUCACUAAUUAAAAGAAUGCAGAAUUUUAUUCAUUGAAUUUCAUAGUUUAUCCCAAAUUCAUUUAUUAGUAGUGGUUUGAUGGUUUGAUACAAAAUACUAUAUUUUAAGGAAUGCAGAGAUAUACUUAGAAUAUAA